rnacentral:lncRNA from 1 species
UGGAAGGGGCGCUGUGGCGGCGGGGAGCCCGCGGCCCUCGCGGUGACGCGGCGGAGCCUCCCGGUAGGAGUCUGUCAGAGAGAGCAGCCCCGCGCGCCGUCCCCACGCUCCCGACCCCGCGCUCUCCUUCAGCACCAGGGACAGGCGCUGCGCCACGACAGCCGAGGAGCGGCCGGGCCCUGGCGCGGCCUGAGGGCUGCGCGCGGCGCGGGGCGGCGGCCUGCGGGGCUGCUGUGGUACCGCUGUGGUACCGCUGGGCCAGAGUUCCCGUCGGCGAGGGCUGUGACUUACUGGUGCAGUUCGCACGAAGGGUUCGUCAUAUCUGAGGCAGCAUGCAGACCAGCAUGCCUGGAUCUGGUCCAAACAGAUAACGACCAAAGUGAUUAUUCAGUGCAAAGGGGACAGCAGCAAGCAGUGCCUGUAUGAUUACUCAGCCUUUGCUCAAUAUUCCAUCAGCAGGGGGGAAGACAAUGGAAAAUCAAGCCAAAAGACUCGGAUUUCCACUUUCUUUGGCAGUUGCAUUGAAAAUUACAAGGCCUGGGAACUGAGUGGGACAAGAGAAACCUGUACUGUCUUUGACUCACUGAGCAUCUCUCUGCAAGCCUUAGAUAAAGCAUUUGGGGAUGAAGCUCCACUUCUGUUGUCUCUAGGUACCUGCCUCUGGAAAUAAGCUGUGUGCUCAUACUGAUGUUCUUUUUUUUCCUCCAGUCUUAAAGCUAAAUUAUUUCCAAAGAAUACAAAUAGAAGAAAACCUCAGAGAGCUCUUGAAAGCCACGCAUACUGGUC